rnacentral:rRNA from 1 species
AAGCGGAGGAAAAGAAACCAACAGGGAUUGCCCUAGUAACGGCGAGUGAAGCGGCAACAGCUCAAAUUUGAAAUCUGGCUCUUUUAGAGUCCGAGUUGUAAUUUGCAGAGGGCGCUUUGGCUUUGGCAGCGGUCCAAGUUCCUUGGAACAGGACGUCACAGAGGGUGAGAAUCCCGUACGUGGUCGCUGGCUAUUGCCGUGUAAAGCCCCUUCGACGAGUCGAGUUGUUUGGGAAUGCAGCUCUAAAUGGGAGGUACAUUUCUUCUAAAGCUAAAUAUUGGCCAGAGACCGAUAGCGCACAAGUAGAGUGAUCGAAAGAUGAAAAGCACUUUGGAAAGAGAGUCAAACAGCACGUGAAAUUGUUGAAAGGGAAGCGCUUGCAGCCAGACUUGCUUACAGUUGCUCAUCCGGGUUUCUACCCGGUGCACUCUUCUGUAGGCAGGCCAGCAUCAGUUUGGGCGGUAGGAUAAAGGUCUCUGUCACGUACCUCCUUUCGGGGAGGCCUUAUAGGGGAGACGACAUACUACCAGCCUGGACUGAGGUCCGCGCAUCUGCUAGGAUGCUGGCGUAAUGGCUGUAAGCGGCCCGUCUUGAAACACGGACCAAGGAGUCUAACAUCUAUGCGAGUGUUUGGGUGUCAAGCCCGAGCGCGUAAUGAAAGUGAACGGAGGUGGGAACCCGCAAGGGUGCACCAUCGACCGAUCCUGAUGUCUUCGGAAGGAUUUGAGUAAGAGCAUGGCUGUUGGGACCCGAAAGAUGGUGAACUAUGCUUGAAUAGGGUGAAGCCAGAGGAAACUCUGGUGGAGGCUCGCAGCGGUUCUGACGUGCAAAUCGAUCGUCAAAUUUGGGCAUAGGGGCGAAAGACUAAUCGAACUAUCUAGUAGCUGGUUCCUGCCGA